CCUACGGGUGGCUGCAGUCGAGGAUCUUCGGCAAUGGGGGAAACCCUGACCGAGCGACGCCGCGUGUGGGAUGAAGGCCCUCGGGUUGUAAACCACUGUCAACGGGGAGGAAAUGCAGGAGGGUUCUCCCUCCUGUUUGACCUAUCUGUGGAGGAAGUACGGGCUAAGUUCGUGCCAGCAGCCGCGGUAAGACGAACCGUACAAACGUUACUCGGAAUUACUGGGCUUAAAGGGUGCGUAGGCUGCGCGGAAAGUUGGGUGUGAAAGCCCUCAGCUCAACUGAGGAAUUGCACUCAAAACUACCGUGCUCGAGGGAGACAGAGGUAAGCGGAACUCAAGGUGGAGCGGUGAAAUGCGUUGAUAUCUUGAGGAACACCGGUGGCGAAGGCGGCUUACUGGGUCUUUUCUGACGCUGAGGCACGAAAGCUAAGGUAGCAAACGGGAUUAGAUACCCUUGUAGUC
rnacentral:rRNA from 1 species